GGAGCACGAAGGUACGCUCAGCGCGGUCGGACAUCGCGCACUGUGUGCAAAGGCAUAAGCGUGCUUGACUGCGAGAUCGACGGAUCAAGCAGGUACGAAAGUAGGUCUUAGUGAUCCGGUGGUUCUGUAUGGAAGGGCCAUCGCUCAACGGAUAAAAGGUACUCCGGGGAUAACAGGCUGAUACCGCCCAAGAGUUCAUAUCGACGGCGGUGUUUGGCACCUCGAUGUCGGCUCAUCACAUCCUGGGGCUGUAGUCGGUCCCAAGGGUAUGGCUGUUCGCCAUUUAAAGUGGUACGCGAGCUGGGUUCAGAACGUCGUGAGACAGUUCGGUCCCUAUCUGCCAUGGGCGUUGGAGAUUUGAGAGGGGCUGCUCCUAGUACGAGAGGACCGGAGUGGACGAACCUCUGGUGUUCCGGUUGUCACGCCAGUGGCAUUGCCGGGUAGCUAUGUUCGGAAGCGAUAACCGCUGAAAGCAUCUAAGCGGGAAGCGCGCCUCAAGAUGAGAUCUCCCGGGAUGUAAAUCCCCUAAAGGAACCAUGUAGACUACGUGGUGGAUAGGUCAGGUGUGUAAGUGCAGCAAUGCAUUGAGCUAACUGAUACUAAUGAUCCGUGUGGCUUGACCAUAUAACCUUA
rnacentral:rRNA from 1 species